AAGUCGUAACAAGGUUUCCGUAGGUGAACCUGCGGAAGGAUCAUUAUUGAAUUGUUUGUUUGAAUUGGCUUAAAACCCCAAUUCAGCAUCCAUAUCCAUAACACCUGUGCACUGUUGGAUGACCUUUGCUCUUCGGAGUGCUGGAAGUCCACUUUUACACUAAACAAUUUGUAACAAAUGUAGUCUUAUUAUAACAAUAAUAAAACUUUCAACAACGGAUCUCUUGGUUCUC
rnacentral:misc_RNA from 2 species